rnacentral:misc_RNA from 1 species
AAGUCGUAACAAGGUUUCCGUAGGUGAACCUGCGGAAGGAUCAUUAACACGUAUCCAAACGUUAAACCCCCCUGUGAACCUUCAGUCGUACAGCAAUCCCUGGUAAAUCAUCGCCGAACAGUUUUCGAUUCAGGGACGUCUGCAAGGAGCGCGUGCAUGUUGUGCGUGUAAGUGGCCUGGCAUCCCCAAGCAGUUAGUGUCUGAAAGUGUCACUAACGUUAGUGUCUGAAAGUGUCACUAACAUGUGUAAGGAUGACGCAGUCACGAUCGUUGGAGGCCCACACGGCCGACGACCGGGUCACUGGGUGCAAGCCCCCUUAUCACACCCCUGCUCUAUCUAUGGUGAUCCUGCGGGAAGUCCUGCGGUCGAACGCCGAAACCGAACAACUGUUAACAAUGGAUAUCUUGGUUCUC